CUACGGGUGGCUGCAGUAAGGAAUAUUGCGCAAUGGAGGCAACUCUGACGCAGCCAUGCCGCGUGCAGGACUGAAGGCCUUAUGGGUCGUAAACUGCUUUUAUUUAGGAAUAAACUUUCGUACGUGUACGAGACUGAAGGUACUAAAUGAAUAAGCACCGGCUAACUCCGUGCCAGCAGCCGCGGUAAUACGGAGGGUGCAAGCGUAAUCCGGAUUUAUUGGGUUUAAAGGGUGCGCAGGCGGACUAUUAAGUCAGAGGUGAAAUCCCGGAGCUCAACUUCGGAACUGCCUUUGAUACUGGUAGUCUUGAAUACGGUUGAAGUAGGCGGAAUGUAGCAUGUAGCGGUGAAAUGCAUAGAGAUGCUACAGAACACCGAUCGCGAAGGCAGCUUACUAAGCCGAUAUUGACGCUCAGGCACGAAAGCGUGGGGAGCUAACAGGAUUAGAUACCCUCGUAGUC
rnacentral:rRNA from 1 species